AUUGAACGCUGGCGGCAGGCCUAACACAUGAAAGUCGAGCGGAGGAAGGGAGCUUGCUCCUGGAUUCAGCGGCGGACGGGUGAGUAAUGCCUAGGAAUCUGCCUGGUAGUGGGGGAUAACGUCCGGAAACGGGCGCUAAUACCGCAUACGUCCUGAGGGAGAAAGUGGGGGAUCUUCGGACCUCACGCUAUCAGAUGAGCCUAGGUCGGAUUAGCUAGUUGGUGGGGUAAAGGCCUACCAAGGCGACGAUCCGUAACUGGUCUGAGAGGAUGAUCAGUCACACUGGAACUGAGACACGGUCCAGACUCCUACGGGAGGCAGCAGUGGGGAAUAUUGGACAAUGGGCGAAAGCCUGAUCCAGCCAUGCCGCGUGUGUGAAGAAGGUCUUCGGAUUGUAAAGCACUUUAAGUUGGGAGGAAGGGCAGUAAGUUAAUACCUUGCUGUUUUGACGUUACCAACAGAAUAAGCACCGGCUAACUUCGUG
rnacentral:rRNA from 1 species